AGAGUUUGAUCCUGGCUCAGGAUGAACGCUAGCGGCAGGCCUAAUACAUGCAAGUCGAGGGGUAACAGGUGUAGCAAUACAUGCUGACGACCGGCGCACGGGUGCGUAACACGUAUAUAAUCUACCUUUUACUGGAGAAUAGCCCGAAGAAAUUCGGAUUAAUGCUCCAUAAUAAUAUUGGGAGGCAUCUCUUGAUAUUUAAAGUUCCGACGGUAAAAUGAUGAGUAUGCGCGAUAUUAGCUAGUUGGUGAGGUAACGGCUCACCAAGGCGACGAUAUCUAGGGGUACUGAGAGGUUACACCCCCACACUGGUACUGAGACACGGACCAGACUCCUACGGGAGGCAGCAGUAAGGAAUAUUGGACAAUGGUCGCAAGACUGAUCCAGCCAUGCCGCGUGCAGGAUGACUGCCCUAUGGGUUGUAAACUGCUUUUGUACGGGAAUAAACCCGGGUACGUGUACCCGGCUGAAUGUACCGUAAGAAUAAGGGUCGGCUAACUUCGUGCCAGCAGCCGCGGUAAGACGAAGGACCCAAGCUUAUCCGGAUUCAUUGGGUUUAAAGGGUGCGUAGGCGGGUUGAUAAGUCAGUGGUGAGAGCCCAACGCUUAACGUUGGAACUGCCCUUGAUACUGUCGAUCUUGAAUGUGUUUGAUGUGGGCGGAAUAUGACAUGUAGCGGUGAAAUGCUUAGAUAUGUCAUAGAACACCGAUUGCGAAGGCAGCUCACAAAGCCACUAUUGACGCUGAGGCACGAAAGCGUGGGGAUCAAACAGGAUUAGAUACCCUGGUAGUCCACGCCGUAAACUUUGAUUACUCGCUGUUGGCGAUACACUGUCAGCGGCUAAGCGAAAGCGUUAAGUAAUCCACCUGGGGAGUACGAUCGCAAGAUUGAAACUCAAAGGAAUUGACGGGGGCCCGCACAGGCGGUGGAGCAUGUGGUUUAAUUCGAUGAUACGCGAGGAACCUUACCAGGGCUUGAAAGUUAGCGACUGAUCGUGAAAGCGGUCAUCUCUUCGGAGCGCGAAACUAGGUGCUGCAUGGCUGUCGUCAGCUCGUGCCGUGAGGUGUUGGGUUAAGUCCCGCAACGAGCGUAACCCCUACUUUUAGUCCAACAGGUAAUGCUGGGGACUCUAAAGGAACUGCCCGCGCAAGCGGUGAGGAAGGUGGGGACGACGUCAAGUCAUCACGGCCCUUACGUCCUGGGCUACACACGUGCUACAAUGGCGGAGACAAUGGGCAGCUACACCGCGAGGUGAUGCUAAUCUCUAAACUCCGUCUCAGUUCGGAUUGAAGUCUGCAACUCGACUUCAUGAAGCUGGAAUCGCUAGUAAUCGCGUAUCAGCAAUGACGCGGUGAAUACGUUCCCGGGCCUUGUACACACCGCCCGUCAAACAAUGGAAGCUGGGAGUACCUAAAGUCAGUAGUCGCAAGACGCUGCCUAGGGUAAAACCGGUAACUGGUGUUAAGUCGUAACAAGGUA
rnacentral:rRNA from 1 species